rnacentral:rRNA from 1 species
GAUGAACGCUGGCGGCGUGCCUAAUACAUGCAAGUCGAGCGAACAGACGAGGAGCUUGCUCCCUUGCCGUUAGCGGCGGACGGGUGAGUAACACGUGGAUAACCUACUUCUAAUACUGGGAUAAUUUCGUGAAACCGGAGCCAAUACCGGCUCAUAUAUUGUACCGCAUGGAUCAAUAGUGAAUGACGGCUUUCCCGUCUCUAUUAGAUGGAUUCGCGCUGCAUUAGCUAGUUGGUAAGGUAACGGCUUACCAAGGCGACGAUGCGUAGCCGACCUGAGAGGGUGAUCAGCCACACUGGAACUGAGACACGGUCCAGACUCCUACGGGAGGCAGCAGUGGGGAAUCUUCCGCAAUGGGCGAAAGCCUGACGGAGCAACGCCGCGUGAGUGAUGAAGGUCUUCGGAUCGUAAAGCUCUGUUAUUAGGGAAGAACAAAUGUGUAAGUAACUAUGCACGUCUUGACGGUACCUAAACAGAAAGCCACGGCUAACUUCGUG